UUUCUCAUUUCUAGAGUGGCAGUACUAAUAGUCCUGAACCUAUAGGAGUUUUAUGAGUGUUAAAUGAGAUAAUGAUACAGGUUUUGUUUUGUUUUAUCUAAUUUCUGUUAUAGUGCAAAAUAACAUUAUUAUUUAGAAGUAUUUCUUCAGCUGUGCCCAUGGCAUAUGGAAGUUCUGGGCAGGGGUUAAAUCCAGGCCAUGGCAGAGACCUGAGCCACAGCAAUAACAACACUGGAUCCUUAACCCAUCGUGCUGCAAAGGAACUACUUUUCUAAUUAAAAAAUUAUUAUUAUUAUUAUUCUGUGUCUCUUCAGCCUUAACACAUAGUAAACAUUCAAUAAACAUUUACUUUCAAAUGAAUGAAUGAGGUUGCUCUAAUGUAAGAGGGAACAAAGGAAUGAUUAAUAAAGGACAAAGAAAAUUACUGUAGGAGAUGGAGAGAUUCAAUUUGGACCUUGGCUGCAAAUCAAGACCUGGGGUCCACAUAUGGCCUGGGUCAGAUUGGCAAGGACUUGCAUCCUAGAAGUCUGAUGUAUUUAUGCAGAGAGCUUUGAAUUAAAGACUAUGUAUAGGGGUUUGCCGAUAAGCUGGGGUGCGGGAGCAGGAGAAGGAAAUGAAGCUCAAAGCCUGCUUUUGAAAGUCCCCAAGGGUGCAGCCUUACCCCAAGUGCACAAGGAUUAAGGAAGAAGUUGGGAGCUUUGUUAGGUCUCAGAGUAAAGGAAAAGGGCUUUCAUUUUGCCUGAGGGAGAACAGCCGACUGUUUUUCCCAAAGACCUUGUUUGAAAUUAAGGUCUUGGAACACUGGAUUCAAUUAACUACCAUUUUAGGAACCUUGGGGAGUCUAACUUGCCAUGUGCUUCAUUUUCCUUUACAAAUCACCUCCUGUUUUCUUGCCUUCAUAUUUCCCCCUUCUCCAGAGAAUUCCAUUCUUGGGACUGGGUCAAGAAAUUCUGUUCUUUACCCUGGGUUAAAAGUGGAAAACGUUGGGCAGGUUUUGGGGUCAAAGUCGAUUUGCUGUCAGUUCGGGCUAGAGUCCUGAUUGCAUGUGCAUUUUUGUGUCUACCCAUAUGUGUAUACACGUAUUUACGCAUGCCUGUAUGUAUGCAUCUAUCUAAACAGCAGUUGGCAGCGUUAAUUUUUCAAUUUAAUAUAAGACUUUUUUUUUUUUUUUAAACAGACCCUAUUUCCAUCUCUAUUCUGGGACCAUGUGGAAUCAGAGAUAAAUUAGACCACAUCUUUGUCCUAGGAGUUCACAGUCAAGCUGAGGCGGACAGACUGACAAAUUGAUAAAUGCUUCAACAUUGGUAGGUGCUAUAAAUAAUUGUGGUCCUGAAGUCUACAUGAAAUUUGGAGAACACUGGAGGGAGCCUAGAGGGUGGUUAAGGAUGGAUUGAGUCAGGCCAGGCUUCCUAGAGAGUCGUUGCUUCCUUCAGCUAAAUCUUGUAGUGUGCAGGGGCUGGCCAGGCACAGAUCUGUACAAAGAUGCAGGGCGGCUAAGCAAGGCACAACGUAUCUCUAGAAUAAAUUGGAAUAAGAUGCCAAUUGACUUAAGUUUCUACAUGUGGUUCCUUUUGUGUUUGGAGGGUCUCCCUCUUAUUUGAUACAAGCAGUAAAACGUUGGUUUUUAAUUUAAUAUAUUACAAAAAAAUUAGAGUUCCUCUUUAGUGGUAAGAAACACAGGUUUCUUCUUUAAUAUAGUAUGGGUAAGCACAGGGGGGAAAUAGAAAGUGGACAGGGUUCAUUGCUCUGCAUUAGAAAGAGAGAGGGGGCCCCAAAAGCUGUUGUAGUGGCAAUGAGGACAGAAGGAAGAGCUGGGAAAAGGCCCGGCCCUGCUCUGGCCAAGAGAAGAUGCUUCUAAGCCAAGACUUGUUGAAUAGGGCUGGUCCCCAUCACACACUCUGUUCCAUGUGAUAUGAAUGCUCUCCCCAUCUUCUCUCUGAAAUGUUGAGUAGAUUCUCCCUUAUAGGAGUGGCGUUUUCUUUUAGGAGAGUUUGAAGAAGAAGGUGAAGGGGUAAAUAAUACAUUAUUAACUGGCUUAAAGAAGAAGGCACUUAACACCUUGAUUAAUAGGAAAGCAUUUUCUCUCCACUGAGGCCAAUAAAUACUGAAAAAUGUUUGGAGUUCCCAUCAUGGCUCAGUGGUUAACGAAUACAACUAGGAACCAUGAGGUUGUGGGUUCGAUCCCUGGCCUUGCUCAGUGGGUUAAGGAUCCAGCAUUGCCGUGAGCUGUGGUGUAGGUUGCAUAUGCGGCUGGGAUCUCAUGUUGCUGUGGCUCUGGAGUGGGCUGGCGGCUACAGCUCCGAUUCAACCCCUAGCCUGGGAACCUCCAUAUGCCACAGGAAUGCCCAAGAAAUGGCAAAAAGAAAAAUGGAGUAAGACGUCCAAAGCCUGAGAGCUGUGGCCCUGCAUUUGGAGACAAGCGAGUGGUUGGGUAGAGCUGGGAGAGAAAGCCCGUGCUUAGAGUGGGUGGCAGUGAAGAGGAGAGAUGGGGAGGAGCUGCAUCCUGAAGGUGCUGGAAUCCUUGUAGAGAAGAUUCUUUGCAUCCCACUAGAGUCUAAUGGAUGUGGAGAGCUGCUCAAGAAGUCUCUAUCCAGGAGGGUAAUGUGUAUAGAUCCUGGAGAACUGCUGGGAAGGUAGAUCCCUCUUCAUUAGCAUCUUACAGAUUAUGAAGAACUCCUACAAGAAACAUGUACAUGGUUCAUGUGCACUGCUCUGUUUUUUGGAAUGGGAAUCUGAGAUCUAGAGAGUGGACAUGUUCUUGCCCAAAGGCAUUCAGUUAAAUGUGACAGAAUGACUUACGUUGAGCUAAAAUUUGUCUCUCUGUAGUUCCUCUCAGUUUACUCUCUAUUGUAAUGAACAGAAAAGGGUCUUUUUUUUUUUUUUUUUUUUUUGUCUUUUCUAGGGCUGCACCCGUGGCAUAUGGAGGUUCCCAGGCUAGGGGUCUAAUUGGAGCUGUAGCUACCGGCCUACACCACAGCCAUGGCAAUGCCAGAUCUGAGCCGCAGCCGGACCUACACCACAGUUCAUGGCAACACCAGAUCCUUAACCUACUGAGUGAGGCCAGGGAUCAAACCUGAAACCUCAUGGUUCUUAGUUGGAUUCGUUAACCACUGAGCCACGACGGGAAAGGGUCUUUAAGCGUGUUGUAGUCAGGGUACAACCUGGGGAGCUGGGAGACAGGAUUAGGUUGAUAUGUGCUUGAGCUACAACUUCAUCACCUGCUAUCUGUAGGACCUCAAGUGAGUUUUCCAAUCUUUCUGAGCUCCCUGAGUAUUGUAGAUUUUUAGCUGAAAAAAAAAAAAAAAAGCGAAUAUUGGAGUUGGAGUUUCCAUCAUGGUGCAGCAGAAAUGAAUCCGACUAGGAACCAUGACGUUGCGGGUUCGAUCCUGCGGCCUUGCUCAGUGGGCUAAGGAUCCAGCAUUGCCAUGAGCUGUGGCGUAGGUCGCAGACGUGGCUGGAAUCUGGCAUUGCUGUGGCCCUGGCGUAGGCUGGCGGCUACAGCUGUGAUUGAACCCUUAGCCUGGGAAGCUCCAUAUGCCACAGGUGUGGUC
rnacentral:lncRNA from 1 species